rnacentral:rRNA from 1 species
GUGCCAGCCGCCGCGGUAAUACGAAGGGGGCUAGCGUUGCUCGGAAUCACUGGGCGUAAAGCGCACGUAGGCGGAUCUUUAAGUCAGGGGUGAAAUCCUGGAGCUCAACUCCAGAACUGCCUUUGAUACUGGGGAUCUCGAGUCCGGAAGAGGUGAGUGGAACUCCGAGUGUAGAGGUGAAAUUCGUAGAUAUUCGGAAGAACACCAGUGGCGAAGGCGGCUCACUGGUCCGGUACUGACGCUGAGGUGCGAAAGCGUGGGGAGCAAACAGGAUUAGAAACCCGUGUAGUCC